GACGUAGGGCGCGAGCGUUGUCCGGAAUUAUUGGGCGUAAAGGGUGCGUAGGCGGUUUGGUAAGUCUGAUGUGAAAUCUAUGGGCUCAACUCAUAGUCUGCAUCGGAAACUGCCGGGCUUGAGUGUGGGAGAGGUGAGUGGGAUUCCUGGUGUAGCGGUGAAAUGCGUAGAUAUCAGGAGGAACACCUGUGGCGAAAGCGGCUCACUGGACCAUAACUGACGCUGAUGCACGAAAGCUAGGGGAGCAAACAGG
rnacentral:rRNA from 1 species